GAUGAACGCUAGCUACAGGCUUAACACAUGCAAGUCGAGGGGUAACGAGAGGAAAGCUUGCUUUCCUUGUCGACGACCGGCGCACGGGUGAGUAACGCGUAUCCAACCUGCCCCCAACUAGGGAAUAACCUUGCGAAAGUAAGACUAAUACACUAUAAUUUCCUCAGAUGCCAUCUGACGAGGAAUAAAGAUUUAUUGGUUGUGGAUGGGGAUGAGUCUGAUUAGCUGGUUGGCGGUGUAACGGCCCACCAAGGCAACGAUCAGUAGGGGUUCUGAGAGAAAGGUCACCCAAAUUGGAACUGAGAAACGGUCCAAACACCAACGGGCGGCAGCAGUGAGGAAUAUUGGUCAAUGGGCGGAAGCCCGAACCAGCCAAGUAGCGUGCAGGAUGACAGCCCUAUGUGUUGUAAACUGCUUUUAUACAGGAAUAAAGUUAGCCACGUGUGGUUAUUUGUAGGUACUGUAUGAAUAAGGACCGGCUAAUUCCGUGCCAGCCGCCGCAGUAA
rnacentral:rRNA from 1 species